UACGGAGGGGGCUAGCGUUGUUCGGAAUUACUGGGCGUAAAGCGCACGUAGGCGGCUUUGUAAGUUAGAGGUGAAAGCCCAGGGCUUAACCCUGGAAUUGCCUUUAAGACUGCAUCGCUAGAAUCGUGGAGAGGUAAGUGGAAUUCCGAGUGUAGAGGUGAAAUUCGUAGAUAUUCGGAAGAACACCAGUGGCGAAGGCGACUCACUGGCCCGUUACUGACGCUGAGGCGGCGAAAGCGUGGGGAGCAAACAGG
rnacentral:rRNA from 1 species